UACAGAGGGUGCGAGCGUUAAUCGGAAUUACUGGGCGUAAAGGGCGCGUAGGCGGCCCGCUAAGUCGAACGUGAAAUCCCCGGGCUCAACCCGGGAACUGCGUCCGAUACUGGAAGGCUUGAAUCCGGGAGAGGGAUGUGGAAUUCCAGGUGUAGCGGUGAAAUGCGUAGAUAUCUGGAGGAACACCGGUGGCGAAGGCGACAUCCUGGACCGGUAUUGACGCUGAGGCGCGAAAGCCAGGGGAGCAAACGGG
rnacentral:rRNA from 1 species